rnacentral:tRNA from 1 species
AGCCUCGUGGUGUAGCGGUCAAGCAUUAUGCCCUCUGGCGGCGUAGACCUCGGUUCGAAUCCGGGCGAGGCUA